UACGAAGGUGGCGAAUGUUGCUCGGAUUCACUGGGCGUAAAGCGUCUGUAGGUGGCUUGUUAAGUUAGAGGUGAAAGCCCCGCGCUCAACGUGGGAACUGCCUUUAAAACUGGCGAGCUUGAGAGUAUCAGAGGAAGGCGGAAUUACUGGUGUAGAGGUAAAAUUCAUAGAUAUCAGUAGGAACAUCCAUGGCGAAGGCAGCUUUCUGGGGAUACAUCUGACACUGAGAGACGACAGCGUGGGGGAGCAAACAGG
rnacentral:rRNA from 1 species